ensembl:lncRNA
CACCAACAAAAAUGCUACCAACAAAAAUGCCAUUAACGAAAAUGCUACCAACGAAAAUGCCACCAACGAAAAUGCCACCAACGAAAAUGCCACCAACGAAAAUGAAGAACCAUUUUAUAUCAGUGAUGAUACGAAAGGAGAUAUAUAUAACAGAUACGCAUUAGAUAUUUACAAUUUUAAUUUAUUUUGGUCACCAGAAUUUGUUAAAAAUUAUUUGAACUUUAUUGAAAAUGAUAGCACUAGAAAAACUAGUAAUAAAGUAUGUACAAACACAUUUUUACAACAUGUUAAUAGCAUAAUAAAAAAAAAAAAUAUUUUGAAUAAUGUAUACAUAAACGAAAAAACGAAUUCGAAAAUUAUGACUUUAAAUGACAACCCAAAUGAAGAAAUAGUAUCAAUUCAUUGUGAUGACAAAAAAACAUCUGAUACAAAUAUGUAUAGCAGAAUAUAUGUAUAUGAUGAAUUAAUAAAAAAAAGGAAGUUAAAUGAGUUAAAAAAUAUUACAUUUGAAAAGUUGGAUAAAGAUACAAAUAGGUUAAAUAACAUGGGGGGUAGUACUAACAAAAGAGAUAUUGUUAAAGAAAGUAUCAAAGACCAACCAAAUGAAUCAAAUGAUGAUCUACUUGUAGGAGAUCGAGUACCCAUUUUAUCAUUAACUAACUAUAUUAUUCCAAUUGUAGAUUCAUUUAACGAUUGUGACAAUUUCUCUAUUUUGGUUAUGUGUCUUUACAACAUAGAAUUAUUUAGAAUCGCAGUUAUGAGAUAUAAUGCAAAAUUGUACAACCGUAUUUUAUAUAGACAUUUAAAAAAAAAGAGAGAAGAAAAAAUCUACAAACUUAAUUAUGUUAUGAAUAUUUAUGGAAUAAAACCACAUCAUACAAAAACCGAUAUUUUAAAUAUCAUAAAAGAAUAUAAUAAAAACAAAAAAUUAGAAUAUAAACAUUAUGAACAGUUAGAAAAAGUAAUUUUGAAAAAAAUACAAAUGGUUAAAUAUAGUAUUCUUUUUAUAGGACAUAUUCUAGAAAAUAAAAUUAAAAAUAUAAUUAAUGUAUUUCAUAAAGAGAAUAACAAUAACAUGGUUGAAACAAUUGCUUGUACAAAUGAAACAUUUAUUUAUACUAUUGAAUUUGUGAAUGUGUCAGAUAUUGGAAAGGAUAAACAUAUAAAUAUAAAUAUAGAUAAUAUGAACGAAAAAAUAAAAAACGUAAAUAAUUUAAUAAAUACAGUUAACAAAAUGAUAAAUGAUAUUAUACAAAAAGCAUACAAUUUAAAUUACAUUUUUAAUGUUAGUAAAAUAAAAACAAAUAUACAAACUUUAAAUAAAAACAUCGUUGAUAUUAAUAAUAAUAUUAAAAAAAUAAGUAAGCAUAUUUCUUUAGACAGCUCCUUAAAAAGUGUUAUUGAGAAUUUUCUCAAUAGUUUUGAUUGUUUUCAGGUCACUAGUGGAAGUAGUGACAACAACCGAGCGGAGAGUAACAACCAGGCCGAGAGUAACAACCAGGCAAAGAGUAACAACCAG